rnacentral:lncRNA from 10 species
GACUCCCCGGCCUGCAUUUGCGGGUCCUCAGUAUUUUGGCUGUCUCCUCUCGGGGGCUUCCAAUUUGACGACGAAUCUGAACAGGCUGGUAACAGCCGCAGCCAGGCUAGUGGAAAACUCGCCGGAUCUGAAGCUGCCCCCCCACCUUUCACCGCCCUAGGAAGACCUCGACAAUCCCCGCAGCUUUUAUCAGCACACAAGAUCGGCGCUGAGCACCACAACUCCAAUCACCGCUAGAGAAGCUGGGUCCAGAGGAGUUGGAGGCAGCGCAGAACCUUGGGAGGGCCCGCACCUGCUAAGCAUGCACGCGGCAGGCUCACCUGAAGCCCGAAAGUGAGCCCGCACAACGCACGCACAUGAGCACGCACGCGCACGCACGGAGGCUCGCUGGAAGCUUGGAGGCGAGCCCGCACGAUGCUCGCACAUGAGCGAGCACGCACGCGUACACACGAGGCACGCAGGUGGGCAUGCGUGCGUUAGGUGUACCUGUACACUUGCUGCUCCCCUGAUGAUUUGCUCAACAGUGUCUGCAAUUGGCAGCCAGAAGGAGUCCGCAAGAAGCAGGAGGGUUCGGACCUGAGACCGCGCCACAGGAGGAAGGCCAGGAUCUGGGAGCGCAAGCCUCAUCUUGCAGCCUGAGGGAACAGCCUCAUAUUCAGGCUUCCUUUUGCCUUCUCUGCUUCACCUUGAUUGAAGCUACCCUUCUCUGCACCUUCUUUAAGUGUUGAGGCCAAGAUAACGAUGAG